GCUGGGUCGCGCCCCUCUCCAAAAACCUGAGACCUGACCACACCUCUCCAUUGCUCUCCAGGUCACCCAAUUUCCAGCUUUAUACGAAGUACCUCAGGACCUUGGACAAAAAGGAAGGUAGCAGGAUGUAGAUUGAGCCCUGAAUUGGAAGUGUCUGAGUUCCGGAUCUCACAUUCUGCGCUGAACCAAUCAGUAGGACUGUGUGUGUCCUUGGGCAUAUCACCUCCAACAAAGAUGCAUCUCUCCAAACCCCUUUCUGCACCUGUAAGAAAUGAUUACGUGCCAAUUUCACACCAAGUGUCAGACGCUCAUCAAAAACAGAAGCAGAUGGGAUCUUUCAGAUGGGCAUUUCAACCUUGAAACUGAGCAACUCACUCCACUAUUCCAGGAAAGACCUAGGAAAAACCUCCUGUCUGCUUGUUCC